GGUGGCUCAGUGGUAGAGCGCUUGCUUUGCAUGCAUGAGGUCCUGAGUUCGAUUCCUCAGUACCA
rnacentral:tRNA from 1 species